UACGAAGGGGGCGAGCGUUGUUCGGAAUUACUGGGCGUAAAGGGCGCGUAGGCGGCCGAUCAAGUCAGAUGUGAAAGUCCUGGGCUUAACCUGGGGACUGCAUUUGAUACUGAUUGGCUUGAAUUCGGGAGAGGAUAGCGGAAUUCCCAGUGUAGAGGUGAAAUUCGUAGAUAUUGGGAAGAACACCGGUGGCGAAGGCGGCGAGCUGGUCCAUUACUGACGCUGAGGCGCGACAGCGUGGGGAGCAAACAGG
rnacentral:rRNA from 1 species